UCCGUAGGGUGCAAGCGUUAAUCGGAAUUACUGGGCGUAAAGCGUGCGCAGGCGGUUGUGCAAGACCGAUGUGAAAUCCCCGGGCUUAACCUGGGAAUGGCAUUGGUGACUGCACGGCUAGAGUGUGUCAGAGGGGGGUAGAAUUCCACGUGUAGCAGUGAAAUGCGUAGAGAUGUGGAGGAAUACCGAUGGCGAAGGCAGCCCCCUGGGAUAACACUGACGCUCAUGCACGAAAGCGUGGGGAGCAAACAGG
rnacentral:rRNA from 1 species